CUCCAAAGAGAGGAGGUGCGUCUCCUUGUCCUUCUCUAAUCCCAUCACUACUCUAGAUCUCAAAUAUGGGUUACUGUUGGCUCCAUUACACAGAUCCCCUACUACAGAAAGGAUGUGGACAAAUUGGAGAGAGUCCAGUAGAGGGCAAUGAAAAUGGUUGUGGGGCUGGGGAACAUGACUUGUGAAGAGAGGCUGAGGGAACUGGGCUGAUUUAGUCUGGAGAAGAGAAGGCUGAGUGGGGAUUUAAUAGUUUUCAACUCCCUGCUGGGGGUUGCAAAGAGGAUGGAGCUGGACUGGUCUCAGUGGUGGCAGAUGACAGAACAAGGAGGAAGGGGCUCAAGUUGCAGCAAGGGAAGUGAGGUUGGAUAUUAGGAAAAGUGUUCUCACUAGGAGGGCAGCAAAGCACUGGAAGAGGUUACCCAGAGAGGUGGUGGAGUAUCCAUCUGGAGGGCAGGGAGCAGCUGCAAGCAGACCUGGACAGGUUAGACAAGUGGGCAGAAAACAACAGAAUGCAGUUCAACAAGGAGAAAUGCAAAGNNNNNNNNNNNNNNNNNNNNNNNNNNNNNNNNNNNNNNNNNNNNNNNNNNNNNNNNNNNNNNNNNNNNNNNNNNNNNNNNNNNNNNNNNNNNNNNNNNNNGGACUGCCCCCCCUGCCCUACGUUGCUCCCUUGUCCCCCAAACCGUGACCAUUGCCCCUCAUUGUCAGCCCCCCCACCCGAGCCCGUGCUGCAGCCCAGUGCCCCGCAUGGGGCUACAUCCCCUGGGAGGAGAUGCGGAGGAGCCUGGCGCCCAGCCAGCUGGCCAAGCGCAAGCCGGACGGUGCCUGCGAGGACGAGGACGAGGACUGGCGCCCGCCCGCCACGCCGAAGAGACAGAAACCUGGCAGUGACACAGAGAGUGGGCAAUGCUACAUGUCGCCUUUCCGGAAACCCCUGGCUCAGCUUACCAAUCGGCCUCAUUGCCUUGAUAGCAGCAAACAUGAGGCGUUUAUCCGCAGCAUUUUGUCAAAACCCUUCAAAGUCCCCAUUCCAAAUUAUAAAGGGCCUCUGGGCUUGAGGGCACUGGGCAUCAAGCGGGCAGGGGUGAGGAACUCUCUCCACGACCCUUUUGAAGAAGGAGCUCUGGUUCUCUAUGAGCCCCCUCCACUGAGCGCGCACGACCAGCUGAAAAUAGACAAGUGAGUUACCCCCAGAGGGAAAUCAUCAGUGCUAAUUUUAACUCCAACCUCCUCCUAUAUUUAUUUCUUCCAUUCCCCUGUGGCUUUGAGCCAAAUGUAGCCUGUGAAAUUUGGAGGGGCUCUGGGCUGUUUCUCCUUGUAGAAAUAGUAAAGGAUGGAACCAGAUCUACAAUCAGUUGUUUUGUGUUUUGUCCAGGGAAUGGGCUCUUUGAUUUCCCAUUACUCAGUGGCCUGUCAGACCUUUAAGUCUGCUUCUCUGAGAGUCUGUGCUCCAUGGAGGAAAGUUGUUCAGAGAAUAUUAAAGCUUGACUGGUCCAGUGCUCAGUCAGGAAGUACCAGCAGGAAGGUACAAGCCAAAGGACACAGCUGACUGAAAACAGGGGAUUUGAAUGGGAACUUUUAGACAACCUCACCCAGAGCAGUCACUUCUCCACCCUUUUUAUAACUUGGAGGGUUUGCCAUAUGGCAAGGUUGGUGGUAGGUACUAACUUAGGGCUUGAAAGGCGGAGGUUCAAGUCUUGGCCUCUUAUGUGACAUUGUAGGCAAGUUGUCUGUCCCCUCUGUGCCUCAGUGUUUCAUCUGUGCUGUGAAGAUCGCAUGUCCCUGCCUUGCAGGGGUGACUUGAGGAUAAAUGUGUUAAAAGAUUGAGGUGCUUGGCUGCUGCAGUGAUGGCGGCUGUUUGAGAGUUGUGGGAUGCUUUUAGCCUGGGUGGCCGCUGGCAAACCCAUUACAUCAGAUUCCAGGAUGGUAGGCACGAGAAAGUGGUCUCUCCUGCUCCGAUAUGGUUCUAGCACAUGUCUGUGUUAUGGUUGUGGGAGGAAAUCUGAUGCUGAUUUAACUGAGCCUCUGAGCUAUGUUUCAGCUCUUCAUAGAUUUCAU
ensembl:lncRNA